rnacentral:rRNA from 1 species
UACGUAGGGUGCAAGCGUUAAUCGGAAUUACUGGGCGUAAAGCGUGCGCAGGCGGUUUUGUAAGACAGGUGUGAAAUCCCCGGGCUUAACCUGGGAACUGCAUUUGUGACUGCAAGGCUGGAGUGCGGCAGAGGGGGAUGGAAUUCCGCGUGUAGCAGUGAAAUGCGUAGAUAUGCGGAGGAACACCGAUGGCGAAGGCAAUCCCCUGGGCCUGCACUGACGCUCAUGCACGAAAGCGUGGGGAGCAAACAGG